GCAGUCGACGAACAUUUAAGACAGAUUACUUCGGUUUGAAGUCUUUUAUGACUGAGUGGCGGACGGGUGAGUAACGCGUGGGUAACCUGCCUCAUACAGGGGGAUAGCAGCUGGAAACGGCUGGUAAUACCGCAUAAGCGCACAGUACCACAUGGUACAGUGUGAAAAACUCCGGUGGUAUGAGAUGGACCCGCGUCUGAUUAGCUAGUUGGCGGGGUAACGGCCCACCAAGGCGACGAUCAGUAGCCGACCUGAGAGGGUGACCGGCCACAUUGGGACUGAGACACGGCCCAGACUCCUACGGGAGGCAGCAGUGGGGAAUAUUGCACAAUGGAGGAAACUCUGAUGCAGCGACGCCGCGUGAGUGAAGAAGUAGUUCGCUAUGUAAAGCUCUAUCAGCAGGGAAGAUAGUGACGGUACCUGACUAAGAAGCUCCGGCUAAAUACGUGCCAGCAGCCGCGGUAAUACGUAUGGAGCAAGCGUUAUCCGGAUUUACUGGGUGUAA
rnacentral:rRNA from 1 species